CGAGUACCACUCCAUGCUUCAUUCUGCUUCCGAUUUUUUUUUUCCCUACCUUGCAGUAGGAAGAGCUCUCUUGGACUCACAAAUUACCACCAGAGGGGAAGAAAAAUAAAGUGAAAUGAAUCAGGACUCUUGAGCCACAGGGAUUGAGCAAGUGCAGCUGAAUAUAUCUCUCAGAUUUGCAUCUAAAGAAAACUGUCCUUCGUAUUUCAGCAAUUAUUUGUAAUAGUAGCAGUUAUCUCCUGACCCCACUUUAUGAACUGAAAACCCAGGUGCUUUGCCUGGGACUAGGUCCGGUUGAGAGCAGCAGAAUGGGAUCUUUUAGCAUUAUCCAUCCCUCAGCUAGAGGGUUCCCUAUUGUCUGGUGCUCGGAGAAGGAGACUUUCAGAUCCUGUCUCUCGUUUGCUCUCUCACCGCACUGAUUAAGCCCUUCCUUUCUCGUGAAUGGCAGGAGAGGAGGAGCGCUGGGCUAAUUGCAUCACAUUAAACUGCCUUCAGCUAUUUUGCCUGCCUAAUGUGUCACAGGAUUCCGACUGCCGUUGUCUCUGCCCCCGUGGUGGUGGUGUUCCAGACGGGCCAUUUAACUCUCUUUUAUGCCCUCUUAAUAUUUUGGGAACAGAAGAAAAAGGAAGCCUUUUUUGUAUGGCAGGAUCUCGUCACUCGAACCACUGAAGCGCAAAGCUCUGUCAUCUCCACCUGCUCCUCUUUUAGCUCCCAAAGAAAGGAAGGUGUCGAGCGUAUGAAAGGGUGCUCCUGCUCCAGAGGCUUUCAUCACAUAGCAGGUUCUCCAAAGUUGUGUUGCCAAGACUGAGAAAAUGCAUCUGUGUGAGAACCAAAGCGUACCGGGGCUUUCCAGUUUACAUAGGUGAUAGUCAGCUUAAAGCUUUAAGGGGUUUCGUUAGAUGAGGAUUCAUUAAGAUGCAGCUGCUGGUGUUGUUUUUAACUCACGUGUGUUUUUUUUCUCUCGGCUAGAAGUUGAGAAAGAUGCAUUUAUUCCCAUCAUACGUACACAUAAUUUUAAAUUCGCAGCAAUUUCACUAAGAUAAAACUGGAAUUGCCUGUGCCAUGGUGUCAGUUUCAUCAGACAAACUGAAAGCAAUGGAUCCUAAUGAGGUGCUGUAAGAGAUCUGUUUUUAUCUCUAUGAUUAUGGAGACAUUAAGUGAACCUGGUUUUUGUCUUUUCAGCAGCUGAGCAGACGUGUUUUGCCAUUACUGACAUAAAGCAGUCAGAACAGAACAAUCAAACUGCUGCUCUGGACUGUGGAUGCCCUGCGAAGGGAGCUGCGUGUCUAUAUCUUAACAGGCCUUCACAGCUUGGUCCCGCUUACCUUGUCACCUCUUAAGCUGUGCCAAGUCAUCAACCCUUCCCAACCAACACGCUAACCUUUCCCAGUCACCUCAUUUCUCCAUAAACGCUUUUGUCCUCUCUGUGAAGAGCCCUUGAUCCAAAAGUCCCCCUCCUUCCUUCUGCUCUCUCUGGCCAGCUCUCGGUGCUCUUCCAGCUGCAGUCCCGAGGUGGGUGAAGAAGGCUUUGUCCUGUUGUUGCACCACUUCAGGUUGCUCAAGAAACAGCUCAGAUGUGCACCCCAAGCUGUCAGCGUGCCUUGCAGGGGCUGCCCGGGCUCGCUCUGAGCUACCUGGCUAUCAGCAGUGCCGCCGCAGCAGCCCAGCUCCUGCAAAGAAGCAAGGUCAUUAGCAGAGC